rnacentral:lncRNA from 1 species
CUCAGCCCAGUCAAAACUGUUCGCUGCUCUGGCACCCCAAUGGUGGAACAAGCUCCCUCACGACGCCAGGACAGCGGAGUCAAUCACCACCUUCCGGAGACACCUGAAACCCCACCUCUUCAAGGAAUACCUGGGAUAGGAUAAACUGAGUCCCCUCCUGUUCCAAGUGAUGACCACUCCACUACCAUUGUCAACUACCUCCUCACAUGAACUGGAAGCCACGUCUCAUGUGGCCCACUCAUCCACUGGCACAUUGAAUGUUUCCUCUCCAAGCACUUCAAAUCCUGUCCUGCACUGGUCAAGCCUCUGAACACCUCAACUCAUGCCUCAUACCCUCAUUCAAUCACUGCUGUGAUCCCUUCCCAAAAUGGUAUAACCUGGUUCAAGUAUUGAUGACAUCACCCUGAAGAAGGCACAGUGAUGCUGAAACGUUGGCAGCCUGGGAAAGAACUGAAAAAACUCACUAAAGAGUCAAGACAGAG